rnacentral:rRNA from 1 species
GACGAACGCUGGCGGCGUGCCUAAUACAUGCAAGUCGAGCGGAAGUUGAAGAGCUUGCUCUUCAACUUUAGCGGCGGACGGGUGAGUAACACGUGGGCAACCUGCCCUGCAGAUCGGGAUAACUCCGGGAAACCGGUGCUAAUACCGAAUAGUUUUCGCCACCUCCUGGUGGCGUACGGAAAGACGGUUUCGGCUGUCACUGCAGGAUGGGCCCGCGGCGCAUUAGCUAGUUGGUGGGGUAACGGCCCACCAAGGCGACGAUGCGUAGCCGACCUGAGAGGGUGAGCGGCCACACUGGGACUGAGACACGGCCCAGACUCCGACGGGAGGCAGCAGGAGGGAAUCUUCCGCAAUGGACGGAAGUCUGACCGAGCAACGCCGCGUGAGUGACGAAGGUUUUCGGAUCGUAAAACUCUGUUGUGAGGGAAGAACAAGUACCAACUAACUACUGGUACCUUGACGGUACCUCACCAGAAAGCCACGGCUAACUACGUGCCAGCCGCCGCGGUAAAAC